rnacentral:rRNA from 1 species
GUUGUAUGGUUAAGUGACUAAGCGUACACGGUGGAUGCCUUGGCAGUCAGAGGCGAUGAAAGACGUAGUAACUUGCGAUAAGCCCAGAUUAGGUAGUAACAACCAUUUGAGUCUGGGAUUUCUGAAUGGGGAAACCCACGUGCAUAAGCACGUAUCCUUACCUGAAUACAUAGGGUAAGGAGGCGAACCGGGGGAACUGAAACAUCUAAGUACCCCGAGGAAAAGAAAUCAACCGAGAUUCCGAAAGUAGCGGCGAGCGAAAUUGGACUAGCCCUUAAGC